GAUUCUAGCAUCGUGCACGUCUAUUCCUUUCUAUCUUCAUAACACACCUGUGCACCUAUUGUAGAUCUUCACUGGUCUAUGUCUUAACCUCACACUACAAUGUAUGUCCUUUGAAUGUAUUUAAAUCUUACAACUUUCAGCAAUGGAUCUCUUGGCUCUUGCAUCGAUGAAGAACGCAGCGAAUUGCGAUAAGUAAUGUGAAUUGCAGAUUUUCAGUGAAUCAUCGAAUCUUUGAACGCACCUUGCGCUCCUUGGUAUUCCGAGGAGCAUGCCUGUUUGAGUGUCAUUUGAUUAUCAACCUAGUCAACUUGAAGUUACUAGGCUUGGACUUGGGAUUUGCUGGCUUUCAGUAGUCAGCUAUCCUUAAAUGUAUUAGCGAGUGAAAUCUUGACGUGCACGGCCUCUGACGUGAUAAUGAUCGUUGGUGGGCUGGAGCGUCAUUAGGAAGCUUGCUUUGAAGUCUUGACAUGCGAGUGUCAUUUAAUUAUAUCUUGACCUCAAAUCACGUAGGACUACCCGCUGAACUUAAGCAUAUCAAUAAGCGGAGGAAAGAAACUAACAGGAUUCCCUAGUAACUGCGAGUGAAGCGG
rnacentral:rRNA from 1 species